AACAUAACGUCAAUGCGGCAGUAUGGGGCAUAUUUGUAUGGGGUCAUGCAGUAUCACGAGACCUGAUAAAUUGGCUUUAUCUUCCACCUGCCCUGGAGCCUGAUAAAUGGUAUGAUCUUAUCGGUGUCUGGACGGGAUCAGCGACCAUCCUCCCAAAUGGUUCAAUUGUUAUGCUCUAUACUGGAGGAACCAAAGACUCGGUUCAGACAAUAGCUCUUGCGUACCCUGCCGACCUAUCUGACCCACUACUAAUAAAUUGGGUCAAGCAUUCUGGAAACCCACUCCUUUUCCCACCAGCUGGAAUUGGUCCGAUGCAGUUUCGUGAUCCCAGUACCGCAUGGUUAACACCAAAUGGCACCUGGAGAAUGGCAAUUGGAACAAAAUAUAACACAACUGGGAUUUCAUUUGUUUUUGAAACAAAAGACUUCACUAAGUUCACACUUUUGGAUGAAUUGCUACACCAAGUUCAAGGUACUGGAAUAUGGGAAUGUAUCGACCUGUAUCCUGUGUCAUUGACAGAUAUGAAUGGCCUUGACACAUCUGUUAAUGGUCCUCAAGUUAAGCAUAUUCUGAAGGUUAGUCUUGAGGAACAACAAGGUGAUUUUUAUGGUAUUGGAAACUAUGAUGUCAUAAAGGACAUUUGGACUCCAGAUGAUCCUGAAGUUGAUGUCGGAUUUGGGCUAAGAUAUGACUAUGGAAGAUUUUACGCGUCAAAGUCCUUUUACGAUCAUAACAAGCUGAGGAGAGUACUUUGGGGUUUUAGCCGAGAGUGUGAUACUGAAGAUGCCGACGUCAAGAAGGGAUGGGCAUCUCUUCAGGUAGCAUUUCUAGCAUUAUUAGAUGAUUCAUCAUUCAUUCCUGCAUUUUAGUAAGCAUUAAUGCUCUAAAAGUUUUUAUACGGGUGGUAUUUUGCAGGUUGUUCCGAGGGAGAUCAUAUUCGACAAUAAGACUAAGACCAAUUUGCUUCUAUGGCCUGUGGAAGAGUUAGAGAGCUUGAGAACGAACGGGAAAGAAUUCAACAAGGUGAAGCUUACAGCUGGAUCAAUUGUGCCUCUCGAUGUUGGCACGACCGCGCAGGUUAGUGACUUUUAUUAGAGUUAAAAUUAUGUUUAAAUUUCAGAAAAUUUUCUUAGGCUCACAGUACAUUUGUAAUUGUGGCAGUUGGAUAUAACUGCCGACUUUGAGAUUGAUAACAAUGCAUUGGAAGGAGUAAUGGAUGCUGAUGUUGGUUACAACUGUACAACUAGCAAUGGGGCUUAUGAAAGAAGCGCAUUGGGACCAUUCGGUUUAUUAGUUCUUGCAAAUGAUGGUCUUUCGGAGCAGACAGCUGUUUACUUUUACAUCGCAAAGGGCACAGAUGGCUAUCUGAAGACAUUCUUCUGCAGUGAUCAAUCCAGGCAUGGUUCAUUCCUAUUUAUCAUAACCCCCUUUAUCUGUCAAAUAUUUUCCCUUUAUCUGUCAAAUAUUUUCCUACACUUAUCCCUACAGUGCAGAAAGUAUUAGUACAGUUUCCACGUCCAUAGUACAUUUCGUUGAACACGAACUUGGCUGAAAAUUCCACAAGUAUCUUCAAAUUUAAGGCCUGGUAUAUGCAAUUUUGACUAAAACUGUAUUUGUUGCAGAUCUUCGCAGGCCACUGAUGUCCGUGAAAAGUUGAUUUAUGGAACUACAGUCCCAGUGCUUAAAAAUGAAAAGUUCUCUAUGAGAAUAUUGGUAAGUUCACAAUUUGAUUUGAAAGGAGCGAGUAAAGAUGUUCAACAGAACAUCUUAUAUUCUACCAAAAAAACAGAACAUCUUAUUUCUCAUUGCUUUAGGCAUCUGGAUACAUGGAUAACUGCUUACAUUGUCAAUAAAAUGCUGCUUACUUUCGCAAAAAAAAAGAAAAAAGAUACAUAGAUAACUCUAUAUAUUACAUACACAACAAUAAGAAAAAAGCCCCUAUAGAAGAACAUUUAUACUGAUAUCCAUAAUUCACCAUGUUUUGCUUAUUUAAGAGAGCGAUAUUCACUCUGUUUGGAAUAUAUUUUGUCUAGGUUGAUCACUCAAUAGUUGAAGCCUUUGCUCAAGGUGGACGGAGUGCUAUUACAUCUCGAGUAUAUCCAACAGAAGCUGUUGCAGGAGCAGCUCGAGUGUUCCUUUUCAACAAUGCUACUGGAGCAGCUGUUACCGCCACUUCAGUCAAAGUAUGGGAAAUGGAAUCUGCAACGAUGAAAACCUACUCUGCUUAGCAAAAGGCGCAACCACGUUUUGACAUGAUUCCGUCAAAUUCAUGUAUUCAGCUUAUCAAGCACUUGGCAUCACUUGUCAGUAAUCUCCCUUAUUCCUGUAAUAUUGUUUGCAGAAAUAAUCAACUGUUGUAGAUUUCGUUUAAACGCAAAGACUUCAAACAAGAUGAGUAAGCUAUUACAAUCAAAUAGUGGAAUCAAUUUUUUUCUACAAAGCUCUGUCAUCUUCAGUUUUCCCUUUUGCUGGCAAUCAUCUGUUUUUUACUUCAAAAGCCAGUAACAAUAAGGAGCAAAGUGCAAGCUGGGAUGACUGCAGCCAAGAUUAGAGUAUCUAUAGAACUACACUAGCUAUCUGGUCCACAUAAACAAAUAAAAACUACCCAAGCUCAGGAUGUAGGAUCCAUUGACCAUUGAGCUGAGGCAGAGCAGAUCGAAUCUAUUAAAACUAAAGCGCGCUUAGCCAAUAUAGGUCAUCAACCUGAUUGGCCUCGCGCAAACUAUGGAAAUCAAUAAAAUUCUUAUUUAUCAAAAGAAAAAAAAAAACAAAAAAAAAACAACUAUGUACAUGUGCCAAGUUGCCAACCCAUCUUUUUCACAUGGCAUCACAGGUGACGUUGUGAAAUGAAAUCACACAGCAAAAAACAAAAUCCAGACUAUUGUUUCCUUUGCACAGGGAAUAUAAAAUGAUUUUUGAGCAUAAAAUUUCCCAUCUCCAAAUCUGCCUGAAAUUUUAAAUACAAAAACAAUGUCGCUUAUUUGAAAACAAUGUUUGCGGUCUUUUUCCUGAUAAUAACAUUUGCGGUCUUUUUUUUCUGAUAAUAACAUUUGCGGUCUUUUGUUUUUGAUAAUAAUGACAUUUGCGGUUUAAAGAAACUGAAUGUCUUCAACUACUUUCCCUAUCAAUACACACCAAUCAAAUCACCAUGUAUCAUAUGUUUUGUUCAUUGUUCAAACUUCAAACUAAGGGCUAUUUCUAUUCCCUCUCAAAGAUGGGAAUCACUAUAUUAGUUUAGCUUGGUAGUAUAAAACUAUGAUUAGUGAAAAACUAUUGAAACUGCAAGAUACAGUACAGUGUUUUUAUAUGAUAUCAACUAUCAAGAUUCAUCAGAUGUUACCAAUAUGGAGCAGCUCAUGGUUAUUUUCAUUUACAAGGCUAAAGGCUAAAGUUAACUUUCUUCAAUUUGAUAAAAAAUAUGUAGUAUAGUUUUAAAAGGAUGAGUCAGCAAUAGUCAACAAUUGUCUAAACAGAUUCAGUUUCUGUUAGUAGUAGUAGUAGUUACAGCUUCCACAUGCUUCCUGAAAUUAAAAUAAAAUAUUGUUUUUGAGUGUAAAUUUCCCGACCUCCAAAUUUGCUUGAAAUUAAAAUGUUGUCAUUUAUUUGAUAUCAAACUUUCAAAAUUUUGAAUGUCCAGCAUGUUAUUACAGAGAAAUUUUGAGUAGGAGCUGUUUGAUGGACUGCUCGUCACACCAUACACAUCUGAUAAAAUAACUAGCGCGAUAGAUAUGAUCUUAACCCUUUUCCUCGAAGUCAUCUACCACAAGAUAUAGAUGAUAUAGACGAAAUCCACCACAUUUAAAAUUAAAUUCCAACAAACUGAUAUUUGAGAACAUAAUCUUUGUGGACUAAAGCAAUGAGAACAUUUGCCGAAUUUGAGGAUCGAAAUGGGUUGAUUGAACAUAAUCUUGAAGGUGCACUUUUCACAUGGUCGGAUAAUCAAUAUGAACCGGUUAUGUCAAAAUUGGAUAGAUUCCUCAUUUCGGUGGAUUGGGAGUUGGUGUUUGGGGAUGCAAAGCAAUUAGCUCUGCCCAAGUUCACGUCCGACCAUAGAGCGAUUCUCUUUGACACAAGCAAAAUUAAGAGGAAACCGAGACCGUUCUGCUUUGAGAUGAUGUGGUUAGAGGAUAAAACUUUUGGUGGUUUGGUCAAAUCUUGGUGGGAGGAUUUUCAUUUUGACGGCUCUCCUAGCUUUGUGUGGUGGAAAAAAAUUAAAGCUCUUAAAGGGAAGAUAAAAGUGUGGAACCGCGAGGUGUUUGGGAGGGUUGAUAGGAAGAUUGAUGAAAGAUUGGCUAGAAUAAAUGAGCUUGAUGGGUUGGAAGAGUUGGAUGUACUCUCCGAUGAUAACAUGUUGGAAAGAACCUUGCUUAGAGAUGACUUAGCUCAUUGGCUCUGGUUGAAUGCAAUUAGUUGGAGGCAAAAGUCAUGCUCUAAGUACUACCUAGAAGGGCAAUCUAACUCCAAAUACUUUUACAUCAUGGCUAAUGUGCGUAGAAGUGCAAACAGUCUUGACUGUCUCUCCAUUGAUGGUUAUUUGUCUCGAGAUGAUGAUCGAAUUAGAGAGCAUAUUGUGAAUUUUUACACCGAUCUUUACACGGAGGACUUCAAAAAUAGACCUAAGCUUGAUGGUUUGUUUUUUGACUCCUUGGAAUCACAAUAUAGGGAGGAUUUGGAAAGAGACUUUGAAGUUGAGGAAGUGGUCCAAACUUUGCAUGAUAUGGAGGGGGAAAAAUCGCCGGGCCCGGACGGUUUUCCCAUGGUGUAUUACAAAGUGUUUUGGAGUGUCUUUAAGGAGGAUAUCAUGUCCAUUGUCCGUGAGUUCCAUAAUUCUGGCUUCCUUGAUUGGCGUGUAAAUACUACUUUUAUCACGUUGAUCCCGAAGAAGGAGGGUGUGCUAUCUAUUGGAGACUACCGACCCAUUAGUCUCAUUGGGGGUGUGUACAAAAUUAUCUCUAAAGUGCUCGCAUCAAGGAUUAAACAAGUGCUACAGUUUCUUGUGUCUGAUACUCAGGGAGCUUUCCUUGGGGAUAGACAAAUUCUGGAUAGUAUACUCAUUGCUAAUGAGAGUAUUGAUGCAAGAUUACGACAAGGGGAUCCUGGGAUUUUGUGUAAGAUUGAUAUCACUAAAGCUUAUGAUCAUGUGAAUUGGAAUUUUCUUGAUUAUGUGCUAAGCAGGAUGGGGUUUGGCUUGAGAUGGAGGAAAUGGAUUCGUACCUGUGUGUCGACAACACGUUUCUCAGUGAUCAUUGAAGGUUCGCCAGAGGGGAAUUUUAAGGCCCAGCGAGGUAUCCGUCAGGGAGACCCACUGUCCCCGUUUUUGUUUAUCCUGGUUAUGGAAGCUUUGUCCCGUUUCACGCUGAAAUGUAUGCAUGAUGGUUUACUGAGGGGUUUUGAGAUUGGGAAUGGAGGUGUUAUGGUUGGAGUACUACAGUUCGCAGAUGACACCCUUUUUUUCACUGAACCUUCGACUCAGGCUUUGUCUGUGAUUCGACUAGUGAUUACUUGCUUUGAAGCUGUGUCUGGACUGAAAGUUAACCUCUCCAAGUCAUCCAUUUCUGCGAUUGGGGAUGUUCACAACAUUGAGAGCCUAGCUCGGUUUUUUGAGUGUGGUAUGGCCCAGUUGCCAGGGAAGUAUCUUGGGUUGCCUUUAGGGGCGCAGUACAAGAAUGUGGAUGUGUGGAGCUCAGUCGUUGAGUCGUAUCAAAAGAAGCUGAGUGGUGGAAGCGAAAACUUAUGUCUAAGGGUGAUCGACUACUUCUUGCCAAAAGUACUUUGGCGGCCUUGCUAUUUAUCAACUAUCCCUCUUCACUAUCCNNNNNNNNNNNNNNNNNNNNNNNNNNNNNNNNNNNNNNNNNNNNNNNNNNNNNNNNNNNNNNNNNNNNNNNNNNNNNNNNNNNNNNNNNNNNNNNNNNNNNNNNNNNNNNNNNNNNNNNNNNNNNNNNNNNNNNNNNNNNNNNNNNNNNNNNNNNNNNNNNNNNNNNNNNNNNNNNNNNNNNNNNNNNNNNNNNNNNNNNNNNNNNNNNNNNNNNNNNNNNNNNNNNNNNNNNNNNNNNNNNNNNNNNNNNNNNNNNNNNNNNNNNNNNNNNNNNNNNNNNNNNNNNNNNNNNNNNNNNNNNNNNNNNNNNNNNNNNNNNNNNNNNNNNNNNNNNNNNNNNNNNNNNNNNNNNNNNNNNNNNNNNNNNNNNNNNNNNNNNNNNNNNNNNNNNNNNNNNNNNNNNNNNNNNNNNNNNNNNNNNNNNNNNNNNNNNNNNNNNNNNNNNNNNNNNNNNNNNNNNNNNNNNNNNNNNNNNNNNNNNNNNNNNNNNNNNNNNNNNNNNNNNNNNNNNNNNNNNNNNNNNNNNNNNNNNNNNNNNNNNNNNNNNNNNNNNNNNNNNNNNNNNNNNNNNNNNNNNNNNNNNNNNNNNNNNNNNNNNNNNNNNNNNNNNNNNNNNNNNNNNNNNNNNNNNNNNNNNNNNNNNNNNNNNNNAGUGGCUCGGGGAUACCAUCCUCUCCAAGGAGGUUCCACAGAUUGUACAAGUAUGCUUUUAGGAAGGAGGGUACGGUGAAAGAUCAUUGUGGUGAGGAGGGGACUUGGGAGCUCCACUUGAGGAGGUCACAUUUUCGUGGAAUUGAAGUUACCCAGUUGAACCAUCUUCAGGAACUUCUUGAGGGUGUUUCUCUUAGUGAUGGGGAGGAUGUUUGGGAGUGGGUUCUGACAGGGGAUAAUGUUUUCACGGUGAAGUCUUGUUACUCAAGUCUAAUGAGCAUUGGUCGAAGGCGAUCUUCCGAACCAUUUGAGUUUCCUUACAGAGUAGUCUGGAAGCCGAAAGUGCCUAUGAACGUCAAGUUCUUCUUAUGGGGUCUGAUGUGGGAUAAAACUUUGACUAUUGAUAAACUCCAGAGAAGAGGCAUGAUCUUGACAAACAGAUGUGAGCUAUGCAAAUGUGAUGCUGAGUCCACGAAACACCUCUUCAUUACAUGUACAGUUACUAAGGAGAUUUGGCAGGGUUUAAUUUCAGUUUGUGCUAGAGCAUGUGCUGGAUUUCAUACGGUGGAGAAUCCACAACAGUUAUUGAAUUGGUGGCCAGCCUUGAACGCACAUGGUGUUAAAAGUAAGAUCUGGAAUAUCUUGCCGUAUGUAGUGUUGUGGUGUAUAUGGCGUGCAAGAAAUGAAGCAAUAUUUCAGGGAAAUAGCCAUAGUGUGGCUAAGAUUGGGGCUGCAAUUAAGGCAGCUGUGUGGGCCUGGUUAAGCUGUGAUCGAGAUGGCUUAAAGAUGAGAGAAGACAUCAGAUUUGCUGAUCUACUUCGUGGUUGGAGCCAUCUUAUGCAAGAGCAGUGGUGAGGUUGACUAACAGUCCACCUGACGAUAUACAGUCAUCUUGUGCUUAGGUCUUGCGUUUGGUUGGCCUGUGCCAGUGCUAGUUUGAUCUUGAGGAAGGACUUGCAUUUCCUGGACCUGUUGACAGGUUGAGCUUACUUGAUGCAAGAGCAAUGAUGACUCAGGGGGACAACUGAAAGCUUAUGGAGCUCUGAUGUCUGUCUAUUUCCUGGUUGUAGUGUUUGUUUGCUUUAGCAGCCAGGGGGUUAGAGUAAAUAUAUAGAGAUUUACCUGACGAUGUACUGAGUACAUGCUGAUCAGGAAUGUAUGUUAUUCUCUUGGUGUCUGAAUAUAUUUUUACAUUAUCAAAAAAAAACAAACUGAUAUUUGAUCAUUUCCAAUAAUUAUGAAUAUAAAAUUUCAUUUGCUUGGUAGAAUCAAUAAAAUGUAUAAGUGUAUGUAAAUCUAUGAUCAGCUGGGGCAGGCUCUAUUGUUAGAGAUGAGUUUGGUAAUUGUUUGUUUGCACUUUCAUGUCCUAUUCUUCAUGCAACAAAUAAUUAUGCUAAAUUCCUAACAAUGUUUCAAGGUCUUAAGGUGCUUCAGAAGCUUAACUUCACCAAAGUGCAAAUUGAAACUGAUUCUCAAUUGCUUCAUGGGAUAACAAUUAAAAAAAUUGUUGGUGUUCAUUGGGGGUUGCAAGACAUUUUGGAGGAUAUUCUUAAUAUCAUUCAAUCAUUUUUUUCGGAGGUGAAAAUAGUAUGGAACUAGAGGGAAUCCAACUGCUGUGCAGACACAUUAGCUAAAUUGGGAUCACAAAUGGCUGGCAAUGAGACUGGUGUAGACACGGACACACUAGAGUCAACUGGCCUAUGGAGUUAAUAGAAUGUUUUAGUUCGGGNNNNNNNNNNNNNNNNNNNNNNNNNNNNNNNNNNNNNNNNNNNNNNNNNNNNNNNNNNNNNNNNNNNNNNNNNNNNNNNNNNNNNNNNNNNNNNNNNNNNNNNNNNNNNNNNNNNNNNNNNNNNNNNNNNNNNNNNNNNNNNNNNNNNNNNNNNNNNNNNNNNNNNNNNNNNNNNNNNNNGGAUUGUAAAAAUAACAAUAUCUACUAUUUAUACAUAAAUUGUUGAAAUUUUGGGUUCAAGAUAGAAAAAAAAUGAUACACUGAAUUCAAAAUAUUUGUCAGAGAAUUCACCAAUAAAACAUUUAAAACACAAUAAAUAGUUUUAAUGCCUUAUAUACCAAAAUGUGCCUAUGUCCAUGCCCAAAGAAGAAAAAACACACCUGGGAUUGGGAAUGCGAGAUUCUGAAAAAAAGGUAAGAUAUACAUGUUUUAGCUACACCUUCAAGUCAAGUCAAAAGAGAUGAGGAGAGAAAUAUCCUCUUGUUAAUUUUGUCAAACAAGUAAUACCUAGAUCGAGAAACACCAAAAGAAGAUAAUGGUUGAUUUCUUUGUUUGAAAUUAGCAAUAGCUAGAAUGAUAUAUUCUAAUUCAGAUGCAUUCGCCAUUUCAAGCAAACCGAGAAGAACAAUAAACAAGAACAAAAACGAAAUUAACAGUGAAUUUUGAACUUAAAUAAAGGAAAAAAACCCACGUAGAGAUAAAACAAGAGGAAGAACAGACAGAGAAAGGCGUGCGGUCCAUAAUAUUAUGGGAAAUCAUAAUGACACCCGCUAUUUUACAAAGAGCUAUCCAAAAAAUUAAGCUUACCCCAUCCAAAAAUUGCUUCUAAUUAAAAACACCCAAUAUGAUAAGAGUUACCCAAUUUUUUUCUUUUUCUUUCUUUCUUUCUCUUUUAUCUCUUCUCCAUUCUCUCAAUAAAAUUUCUCAACAUUCAAAAUUUGAUCUCAAACAUUUAAGUAAAUUAAAUGUUCAAAUGAAAACCCUAAAAUAUUCAACUUGUUAAUUUCUCUUUUAAUUUUUAGUUCAAAUAACAUUAAGUUAAACUUUAACAAAUUUUUCUUGAAGUUAACAUAAGAAGAAACAACAUGAAUUUCUUCAUAUAAUAGUGGUCUAUCUUCAUCUAUUUUAAAGUAUUUUAUUGUCUCCUACAAUAAAACAAGAGGGUAAUGAUUUGGGUUUUUGUUAAUGAAGUAGACGAAAAGAGAAAGUAGAGAAGCUAGUCAAAGAAAAGAAAAGAAAAGAAAAACCAAAAUUUUAAUUUAAUUAGGUGUGUGACUCUUAGUAAAAAUAGUAUAUAAUUUGGGGGGGAGGGGGGGGCGCUUUUAAUAUGUUGGAUAGCUUUUUGUAAAGAGUCGGGUGUCAAUAUGAUUUUCCUAAUAAUAAUAAUAAUAAUAAAAAAAAAAAAAAAGAGCAUAUGCGUCUGCAUAGUAAAUCGAACCUUGUAGGCCCGCACAAAUCUAANNNNNNNNNNNNNNNNNNNNNNNNNNNNNNNNNNNNNNNNNNNNNNNNNNNNNNNNNNNNNNNNNNNNNNNNNNNNNNNNNNNNNNNNNNNNNNNNNNNNCAACCCAACCCACUCUAAGCCCAUCAUACUGUUUUUUUCAUGGGAGCUAUUAGAGCUUUUUUUUUUUUUUUUUUUUUGGGUGGGUGGGUGGGUGGGGGGGGGGGGGGAGGCCCCGGGGCCGCCCUUAAAUUUUAGGAAGGGGGGAAGUAGGCCCAGGGCCCGCCCUUAAAUUUUAGGAGUCCCAAGGGAUCCCAAAAAAAGGGGGCCAAUUGCCAAUUGCAAAUUUGAAUUAUACAGUACAUUAAAAAAAAAAAAAACUCAUUCCACUAAUCAAAACACUUUAAAAAAAACAAAAACACCUUUGAAAAAAAAAAACAAGAAAGAAAAAUAUCGCUGUUGAAUGAUAACUCUUUUCAGAGUUUUGCGGGCAAAAUCACUAAUUAAGUUCGCAUAGUUAAGAAGUGGCCUUAGGUUUUUAGUCGGAGAAGAGAGAAGUUGAACUGUUCAAACGUGUUAAUUUUUUUUUAUCUGUUCUACCUAUUACAAUAGAUCUAGCAGUUGGGCUUAUCUUUUUUUGGUUUUGAUUUCUGGGCUACAAUGUUGGGCUUUUUAUGGUUGAGGGGAAGAAGAACAAAGUUGAUGUGUGGCCCAAUUUUUAUUUUUUAUUUUUUUGGCCCAAAGCACUGGCUGAACCUGCUUGUGGUGAGGGCCGACCCUGAGUAGGCUACCAUUAUGCUAGCUUUUGGGCACCUCGACAUUCCCAUGGCUAACUUUGUAUUACAAGUUUACAACUUAUUACAUUGUUAACUGAAUGUCUAGGCCAACUUACAUGCACCACAACACUCCAAGGUUAAUUUUGUAUCAGAGUAUUUUUUAUGUAGGGCCUAUUAUUUUUAUAGGGAUCUAAGAGUAAUAAGAUUUGAAUGACACGUGUUAUACAUUGGUGAUAUUUAGUAAAGUAUGACGUAAGACUGGUGAACAGACGAAGCAAACACGUGAGUGUAUAAUAUACGUAUUGGUAUCGUAAAAAGGACAGGUGGCAGGAAAUUUUGAAUCAGGUAACGGAGACGUACGAUGAUGUCAUUCAACCUGCUUUCUUUAUAGUAGUUUAGAUGCCCCACUAAACAAAUCUAAUAAUACCCAAUAUAUCCUAAAUGAUAUUAGUAAAUACACCCCGUAUAAAAUACUCAUUUUCUUUUUCUUCUUCAUCUCUAUUUUUAUCACAUCUCAUGUCUUUCUUUCUUCCUCCUUUAACUUCAUUUAUUUGUAUUUGUUAUUCAUUAACCAUAUUUAAUUGUAAGUUUAACAUCAAAAUGAAUUGGUUUCUUUGGACGAGAUUUUGAAAAAUAACAUUUGUUGGAGCCAUAGAAAACACCAACUUCAAUUUUCGAAAACUUGCAAUACACAUAAAUCUUAAUUAAUCAAAUGAUGUAUGACAAUUCAAUUUUUAUUUUAUUUUUUUUCUAUUAAUUACUUACCAAACAACCAAAAUCAAACAUAUAAGCGAUUUUAAAUGUUCUUAUAAAAAAAUUGAAAUUAUGUUCCAUUAUACAUACGAUAACUUGUAAGUGUUUUAUGAUUCUCUUAAUGUAUUGAUUCUAAGUUUUCAUUGUAUAAACGACUCUAAUUAUAAAUUUAAAAAGUAGUGAAGAGAUAUUUAGUUACAAUUUUAUUUUAAUUUAUAUUAGGAUAUAUAAAUAUAUUUAUCACUAGGGCAUGUUUACCCAAUUAUAAAAUUCAAGUGGGAUAGAUUUACUGUUUAAGGCUUAAUUACCAAACUGUAGAACUUGGAUACCGUCCCUUAAAAAAAAAAAAAAAAUACUCAAUAAACGAAUAUAAAGUCAGCAACCUGAUUGAGGUUGCUGACAAUAAACAAAAGUGCCCAAGCUCAGGAUCAGGGUGCGCACAAAUCUAUUGAGGAAAGGCAGAACCUAGCAAUAACUCAGCAAUCAGAUUGGCCCAGAAAUUAGGACGAUGUGCAGUGUGACAACUGACGGCAUUGCUCAGCUAAAAACAAAGGCCGGACUCUGGUUUCACAUGCUCCCUGAAAUUGAAAUAAAAUACUCUGCCUCCGGUUCUGCCUAAAAUAUGCAAAAUAUUUUUUAUUUAUUUUGAUAACGACAUUUGCGGUUCUUUUUCAUUCUUCAUUUGUGGGGUUUUUUUUUUUUUUUUUGAUAAUGACAUUAGCGGUCUAAACUCUAAAGAACAGAACAUGUUUCAAUUCUCCAACCUUUAACUAAACUCUAAAUUAAGUACCAACGAAAGAAAGUCAUGAAUAUCGGGUACUAAAAUUAUUAUACAAAAUCUAAUGAGUAUGUUUCAAUGAUUCGAAAAUAAUUUUUUUUGUUUUUUUCAAGAAAUACUGAAAUAGCAUUAUUAAAAUUGGGCCAUGCCCACUACUACCUACCGACAAUAAUAUCUCACGAGUCAUGAUCAAUGAGCAAUAAUGCCGGCUGUAAAAACAGUAAUAUUACUGUAUCAUAAAUUAAAGAUAAAUAAAAAUAUAAAAUGAACCAACCAAUAAUAAUACAUUCCAGUGCUAAGUUUUAACUGACCCACCUACAAUCCUACAUAUGCAUAUAGCUCCAUCUUUGCUGAUGCAUCACAUAUUGACACUUUGAAACACAAAACAUGCUUAAAACCAACCUCCAGUUGCCUAAACUCUUUCAUGCUCAGCUCAGUUCCUCUUUUUGCCUCUCAAGCUAAUUCUCAUCAGUCAUCACCCAUUCACCCCAAGUCCCCAACCUUCAUCAUCUAUGGAUAAUUCUAUCAAAGAUGUUGAAGGUGCAAACUGUAACACACCUCUCUUAGAUCAAACAACAAGGAAGAAUAAUUGCAAAUCAUCAUCAAGGGGUGUGUUGUUAAUCUUUGCUGGGGUUGUGUUGGUUUUAUGUAUUUUUAGUAUGGUUUUAAUGGUUAACCAUAACAACCAUACAUCUGAAUCUUCUGUUCAUCAUCAUAUCCAACCAAAGUUGGAAACAGUAGAAUCUCAAGGCGGUGUAUCUGCAGUAAGAGAUGAUUCAGAGAAAGAUGAUGAAUUCAAAUUGUUGUCUUCACAACCAUUUGGUUUCCAUUUCCGGCCUCACAGAUAUUAUAUGAGUGGUGGGUAGUUUUUUUUCUUCUUCUUAUCUUAUUACUACUGUGUCUUCACUUGUAUUCUCCACUCAAGCAUUUCUCUUUGACCUUUAUUUAAAUUAUUAUACUGUUUUUGAUACUGUACAUAUGUUUUACUUUUCUUAAACUGACUCAACUUUUUGUUCAUGUCUUGAUUGCUGUGUUGGUGAUGAUUUCUACUUUUGGUUUCAAUAUCUCAGAUCCUAGUGGUAAGUUCAUUAAUUCCAUGCUUUUAUAUUUUUCUUUCUUUCCUGGUGAAAUAUAAUGUUAAUUAUCUACACCCAGAAUCAUAUCAUUAUGAAAUUGAUCUGAACUUGAGUUGUUUCAUAGUGGUCACCUCUUGUUGGGGAGAGGGGAGAGUAUAUAAUAUCCCUUCUAAACUACUAUGUCAUGGAAGGAUAUUCCUCCACAUAAGAAAUCAGAUGGUCCUAGAACUAGUCCAACAAUAAGUGCUAAGGAGUAUGAUUUUCGACAAAAUAUAAUCAUUUAGACCCUUAGAAAAUUUGACAUAUAGGUAUACAUAAAUAUGAAUUUGGAACAUAUGAUAAAAAUCACUUUCUUCAUGUUCUGCGUCUGGUUGCUUCCCAUUAGAUUCACUUUUCUAUGAUUUUGCAUUGCCAAAUGAACUUAUGAAGCUUAAAGGAAUAUAACCCAAAAUAUGAUAAAACUAUUUUAACCCACUAUUUAAAAGCUACGGUAUGUCUUAAUUAAUUGUAUAUAUGGAAUUGAUGCAGGUCCUAUGUUUUACAAGGGUUGGUAUCACUUCUUCUUCCAACAUAACGUCAAUGCGGCAGUAUGGGGCCACAUUGUAUGGGGUCAUGCAGUAUCACGAGACCUGAUAAAUUGGCUUUAUCUUCCACCUGCCAUGGUGCCUGAUAAAUGGUAUGACCUUAGCGGUGUCUGGACGGGAUCAGCAACCAUCCUCCCAAAUGGUUCAAUUGCUAUGCUCUAUACUGGAGGAACGAAAGACAUGGUUCAGACAAUAGCUCUUGCGUACCCUGCCGACCUAUCUGACCCACUACUAAUAAAUUGGGUCAAGUAUUCUGGAAACCCACUCCUUUUCCCACCACCUGGAAUUGGUCCGAUGAUGUUUCGUGAUCCCAGUACCGCAUGGUUAACACCAAAUGGCACCUGGAGAAUGGCAAUUGGAACAAAAUAUAACACAACUGGGAUUUCAUUUGUUUUUGAAACAAAAGACUUCACUAAGUUCACACUUUUGGAUGAAUUGCUACACCAAGUUCAAGGUACUGGAAUAUGGGAAUGUAUCGACCUGUAUCCUGUGUCAUUGACAGAUAUGAAUGGCCUUGACACAUCUGUUAAUGGUCCUCAAGUUAAGCAUAUUCUGAAGGCUAGUCUUGAGGAACAACAAGGUGAUUUUUAUGGUAUUGGAAGCUAUGAUGUCAUAAAGGACAUUUGGACUCCAGAUGAUCCUGAAGUUGAUGUCGGAAUUGAGCUUAGAUAUGACUAUGGAAGACUUUAUGCGUCAAAGUCCUUUUACGAUCAUAAGAAGCAGAGGAGAGUGCUUUGGGGUUUUAGCCGAGAGUGUGAUACUGAAGAGGCCGACAUCAAGAAGGGAUGGUCAUCUCUUCAGGUAGCAUUUCUUACAUUUCUAGCAUUAUUAGAUGAUUCAUCAUUCAUUCCUGCAUUUUAGUAAGCAUUAAUGCUCUAAAAGUUGUUAUACGGGUGGUAUUUUACAGGUUGUUCCAAGGGAGAUCAUAUUCGACAAUAAGACUAAGACCAAUUUGCUUCUAUGGCCUGUGGAAGAGUUAGAGAGCUUGAGAACGAACGGGAAAGAAUUCAACAAGGUGAAGCUUACAGCUGGAUCAAUUGUGCCUCUCGAUGUUGGCACGACCGCGCAGGUUAGUGACUUUUAUUAGAGUUAAAAUUAUGUUUAAAUUUCAGAGAAUUUUCUUAGGCUCACAGUACAUUUUGUAAUUGUGGCAGUUGGAUAUAACUGCCGACUUUGAGAUUGAUAACAAUGCAUUGGAACGAGUCAUGGAUGCUGAUGUUGGUUACAACUGUACAACUAGCAAUGGGGCUUAUGAAAGAAGCGCAUUGGGACCAUUCGGUUUAUUAGUUCUUGCAAAUGAUGGUCUUUCGGAGCAGACAGCUGUUUACUUUUACAUCGCAAAGGGCACAGAUGGCAAUCUGAAGACAUUCUUCUGCAGUGAUCAAUCCAGGCAUGGUUCAUUCCUAUUUAUCAUAAACCCCUUUAUCUGUCAAAUAUUUUCCUACACUUAUCCCUACAGAGCAGAAAAUAUUAGUACAGUUUCCACGUCCAUAGUACAUUUCGUUGAACACGAACUUGGCUGAGAAUUCCACAAGUAUCUUCAAAUUUAAGGCCUGGUAUAUGCAAUUUUGACUAAAACUGUAUUUGUUGCAGAUCUUCAAAGGCCACAGAUGUCAGUGAAAAGGUGAUUUAUGGAACUACAGUCCCAGUGCUUAAAAAUGAAAAGUUCUCUAUGAGAAUAUUGGUAAGUUCACAAUUUGAUUUGAAAGGAGCGAGUAAAGAUGUUUAACAGAACAUCUUAUUUCUCAUUGCUUUAGGCAUCUGGAUACAUGGAUAACUGCUUACAUUAUUAAUAAAAUACUGCUUACAUUCGUAAAAAAAAAAAAAGGAUACAUAGAUAACUCUACAUAGUACAUACACAACAAUAAGAAAAAAGCCCCUAUAGAAGAACAUUUAUACUGAUAUCCAUAAUUCACCAUGUGUUUGCUUAUUUAAGAGAGCGAUAUUCAUUCUGUUUGGAAUAUAUUUUGUCUAGGUUGAUCACUCAAUAGUUGAAGCCUUUGCUCAAGGUGGACGGAGUGCUAUUACAUCUCGAGUAUAUCCAACAGAAGCUGUUGCAGGAGCAGCUCGAGUGUUCCUUUUCAACAAUGCUACUGGAGCAGCUGUUACCGCCACUUCAGUCAAAGUAUGGGAAAUGGAUUCUGCAUCGAUGAAAAUCUACUCUGCUUGACAUGAUUCCCUCAAAUUCAUGUAUUCAGCUUACCAAGGACUUGGCAUCACUUGUCCGUAAUCUCCCUUAUUCCUGUAAUAUUGUUUGCAGAAAUAAUCAACUGUUGUAGAUUUCGUUUAAACGCAGACUUCAAACAAGAUGAGUAAACUAUUACAAUCAAAUAGUGGAAUGAAUUUUUUUCUACAAUGCUCUGUCAUCUUCAGUUUUCCCUUUUGCUGGCAAUCAUCUGUUUUUUACUUCAAAAGCCAGUAACAAUAAGGAGCAAAGUGCACGCUGGGAUGACUGCAGCCAAGAUUAGAGUAUCUAUAGAACUACACUAGCUAUCUGGUCCACAUAAACAAAUAAAAACUACCCAAGCUCAGGAUGUAGGAUCCAUUGACCAUUGAGCUGAAGCAGAGCAGAUCGAAUCUAUUAAAAUUAAAGCGCGCUUAGCCAAUAUAGGUCAUCAACCUGAUUGGCCUCGCGUAAACUAUGGAAAUCAAUAAAAUUCUUAUUUAUCAAAAAAAAAAAUAAAACAAAAUAAAACAACAACUAUGUACAUGUGCCAAGUUGCCAACCCAUCUUUUUCACAUGGCAUCACAGGUGACAUUGUGAAAUGAAAUCACACAGCAAAAAACAAAAUCCAGACUAUUGUUUCCUAUGCACAGGGAAUAUAAAAUGAUUUUUGAGCAUAAAAUUUCCCAUCUCCAAAUCUGCCUGAAAUUUUAAAUACAAAACCAAUGUCGCUUAUUUGAAAACAAUGUUUGCGGUCUUUUUCCUGAUAAUAACAUUUGCGGUCUGUUUUUUCUGAUAAUAACAUUUGCGGUCUUUUGUUUUUGAUAAUAAUGACAUUUGCGGUUUAAAGAAACUGAAUGUCUUCAACUACUUUCCCUACCAAUACACACCAAUCAAAUCACCAUGUAUCAUAUGUUUUGUUCAUUGUUCAAACUUCAAACUAAGGGCUAUUUCUAUUCCCUCUCAAAGAUUGUAAUCACUAUAUUAGCUUGGUAGUAUAAAUUUAUAAAACUAUGAUUAGUGAAAAACUAUCGAAACUGCAAGAUACAGUACAGUGUUUUUAAAUGAUAUCAACAAUCAAGGUUCAUCAGAUGUUCUGUACCAAUAUGGAGCAGCUCAUGGCUAUUCUCAUUUACAAGGCUAAAGUUAACUUUCUUCAAUUUGAUCAAAAAUAUCUAGUAUAGUAUUAGAAGUAUCAGACAAUAUAUUUUGAGAUUCCCAUGUGUUUUAAAUUUAUUCAUUCAAUAAUUAUAAUCGAUGAUUGAUAUAUAAAGAGGAAACGCAUGUGUGGACUAAAUAAUUAAUACUAUCUAGCCAAAAAGCAUAAAUCAAGUUGGCUCUUUCAUUGAAUAUAAUAACAAUACUGUAUACUGAAAAUGGCUUUUGGUGAAUAAUUGGGAACCUAUGUUCCACAUUGUUCUAACUUCUAAUGUAUUGCCAUUCCCAUAAUGAUAGGAAAUAGAGAAAAAAACAAGAAAAAUAAUUAAUGAUCUAGAAUUCAAACUAACUUUUUUUUCUUUUAAAGAAAAAAAAACAAAAACAACAAUAGGAAUUGCGGUCAUCAAUCCAAAUUCGGGAUUGUUUACAAUAUUGGAUCUAAGGGUAAUCCUGCCUCACACAAAUUUAAAAUUAUAGACUCCAUCCAUACUAAGAGUUUUUUUUUUUUACUUAGAGAUAUCCUCUAGUUUAAUAAACUCCAACUAAUUUAAAAAAAAAUUACAAUAAAAGAAUUUUUGAACACAUUCAGAAGGGUUGGAUUUGCUUUCAAAGACAAUUGGUUAUUCAUUGUUGCACACUUAUCCUCCACUUUAGUUUAGGGUUUACGGUAGAAUUAACUGGACCUCUAAACAUCAUUUCUUCUAAUACCAAAAUCUAUAGAGUAUCUUUUAAUGAUUAAAAAAUGAAUUAUAACAUGGAAAAGACCCCUCUAGCUUUUCAUUGAAAUUUAAUUAUGUAAAAUAGCUCAAUUAUUAACCAAAUUGGGACAUACCACCAAACCCCCCACACCACAACCCAUAACCUCAAGAUCAACCACAUACUACUACUAGUCUACUACUCCACAUGCCAAGCUGCAUCACUUUCCAUUUUUUGUAAUAAUUCAUCAAGUCAGGCCGGCUGUACAUAUAGCAACACAAUAUAUAAAAAAACAACAACUCUCUUCUUUGGCUCUUUCUUCUUGCCUGCUAAUCAAACAGCAAUACAAAACCAAUGAACGAACAUCAUCAAUUUAAACCCCACGGUACUUGUAUACAAAUAUACUUUUAGAUCUUGAUGGAGAUCCACCUUGGCUGCUUCUGACGCACAUGUUGAGUUGUUGACACGCAUUGACGUAAGUCAUCACUCAUCACUCACAGAGUCACAGUAAUAUUUUUAGUCGGUGCUAAAUUAAUAAUAACUUACUACAUUAUACAGUAUAUUUUUUUUUAAAAAUACACUAAUAAUAAUAGUAAUAAAAUUUUAAAAAAUAUUAAUCCUACAUAUAAUAAAAAUAUAUUUAUUUUUACUAUAUAAACAUAAUACACAUCUGCAAAUGCAUAUUAUUUCUUAGUCCCAAAGCUGCUGUGCAUUUUUACAGGUUUUACUGUACAUCCAUAUGAUUAUUUUUAAAAAAUAUCAAGUCAAAGUCAAAUAUUGUCUAGUUUUUUUUUUAUAAAAUAAAAUAAAAUAAAAUUCUGUAUGCAUUUAAUAAUAAUACUAAGUAUAUUCAUGAAUGUUGCUUUACUAAAGAAAAUACGAAAAAUAUGGACUAAGCAAGGGAAAAAAAAAAAAUUACUUUAAUUAAUUAAUAUAUUAAAUUUAAUUAAUAAUUUGUCUUUGGGCCCAUAUAUAUUAAUUUAUCGAGGUUGUACUGUAUAUAUAAACACACCUCUUUCACUCCAACUCUACCAUUGUUCCUUGGCUUCUCUUUCUCUGCCUUCCUCCUCUUUGAUUGAAUCCAUCCAUUAUCAUGGAUUCAAUUAAAAAUGUUGAAGGUGCCAACACCAAAAGUUCCUACACUACACCUCUCUUAGAUCAAACUAACUCAACAAAGAAGAAUAAUUGGAAACCCUUAAAGGGUUUAUUAAUAUUUUCUGGGGUACUUUUGGUUUUAUGUAUUAGUGUGGCUUUCGUUAUUAACUAUAACUAUAACUAUAACUAUAGAUCUGAGGAUCAUGUUGAUGAACAAAACCCUAAGUUGGAAACAGAGGAAUUUAUACCACAAGUUGUAGUAGUUCCUGAAGAAGAUGAUGCAGAGAAAGAAAAUAGAUUGUUUAAUGAUCCUGGAGCUUUACAUCCAUCAUCAUAUGAAUGGACUAAUGCUAUGUUAUCUUCACAAAAAUCUGGUUUCCAUUUUCGUCCUUACAGAAAUUGGCAAAGUGGUUAGUAUUAUUGUGCAUUAUUCUUAUUCUUCUUAUUAUGAAUCAGAAUGAGUUUUUGAAUGAAUGUGCUAGUUCUUUGAUACUGUAUAUUUGUUUUUAUUUUUCUUAUACAGUUAUACUGACUUGACUUGUUUUCUUGUCUUGAUUGCUCUGUUGGUGAUGAUUUUUUCUGGUUUCUGUCAUGAUCUCAGAUCCUAGUGGUAAGUUCAUCUUCCUUCCUUGCUUUCUUCUAUUCUUUAUUUUCUAGUGAAAUCUAAUGUAAUUCUGCAACCUGGAGCAUCAUACUGUAUUACUGUCAAAAAAUUCCAAAAUAACCACUAAGAGAUAUUUUAGCAAAACAAAUAGAGGUCCCACCAUCAUGUUAUUUUCUCAGUGGACAACUAGUUGAAACACAAUAUUAGAAACUCCGUCAACUAGAAAUGAUUGUGAUUUGAAUUUUGAAAUAUUGGAGUCCACUUGUUGCAGGUCCUAUGUUCUACAAGGGAUGGUACCAUUUCUUCUACCAACAUAACCCCGAAGCGGCAGUAUGGGGAAAUAUAGUAUGGGGUCAUGCAGUAUCGCGAAACCUGAUAAACUGGUUUUAUCUUCCACAUGCAUUGGUACCUGAGCAUUGGUAUGAUAUUGGCGGUUGUUUUACAGGGGCUGCAACCAUGCUCCAAGAUGGUUCAAUUGUUAUGCUCUAUACUGGAGCCACCAAAGACAAAGUUCAGAUAAUAAAUCAAGCCUACCCUGCCGACCUAUCUGAUCCCUUACUUAUAAAUUGGGUCAAAUUCUCUGGAAAUCCAAUCCUAGUCCAACCACCUGGAAUUGGUCUGACAGAGUUUCGUGAUCCCAGUACUGCGUGGUCAACACCUACUGGAACCUGGAGAUUCACAAUUGGAACAAAACGUAACACAACUGGGAUUUCUCUUAUGUAUGAGACAGAAAACUUCAUGAACUACACACUUUUGGAUGAAGUGCUUCAUGGAGUUCCUCAUACUGGAAUGUGGGAGUGUGUCGACUUAUAUCCUGUGUCACUGACAGGUAUGAAUGGCCUUGACACAUCUGUUAAUGGCCC
rnacentral:lncRNA from 1 species